UACGGAGGGUGCAAGCGUUAUCCGGAUUCACUGGGUUUAAAGGGUGCGUAGGAGGGCAGGUAAGUCAGUGGUGAAAUCUCCAAGCUUAACUUGGAAACUGCCGUUGAUACUAUCUGUCUUGAAUACCGUGGAGGUGAGCGGAAUAUGUCAUGUAGCGGUGAAAUGCUUAGAUAUGAACAUAGUAACACCAAUUGCGAAAGGCAG
rnacentral:rRNA from 1 species